rnacentral:rRNA from 24 species
UAGCAUGAAGUCAGACAA